rnacentral:misc_RNA from 1 species
UACGGAGGAUCCAAGCGUUAUCCGGAAUCAUUGGGUUCAAAGGGUCCGUAGGCGGGAUAAUAAGUCAGUGGUGAAAGUCUGCAGCUCAACUGUAGAAUUGCCAUUGAUACUGUUGUUCUUGAGUGUUUAUGAAGUGGUUAGAAUAUGUAGUGUAGCGGUGAAAUGCUUAGAUAUUACAUGGAAUACCAAUUGCGAAGGCAGAUCACUAACAGUAUAUUGACGCUGAUGGACGAAAGCGUAGGUAGCGAACAGG